GGGUUAGUGGCGCACGGGUGCGUAACGCGUAACCAACCUGCCCUUGACUGGGGGAUAGCCCGCCGAAAGGCGGAUUAAUACCGCAUAAGCCUACAGCGUGGCAUCACGUAGUAGGUAAAGAUUUAUCGGAUUCAGAUGGGGUUGCGUAGCAUUAGCUAGAUGGCGGGGUAACGGCCCACCAUGGCGACGAUGCUUAGGGGACCUGAGAGGGUGAUCCCCCACAC
rnacentral:rRNA from 1 species